rnacentral:rRNA from 1 species
UACGUAGGGUGCGAGCGUUAAUCGGAAUUACUGGGCGUAAAGCGUGCGCAGGCGGUCUGUUAAGACCGAUGUGAAAUCCCCGGGCUUAACCUGGGAAUGGCAUUGGAAACUGGCUCGCUGGAGUGUGGCAGAGGGGGGUGGAAUUCCGCGUGUAGCAGUGAAAUGCGUAGAGAUGCGGAGGAACACCGAUGGCGAAGGCAGCCCCCUGGGCUAACACUGACGCUCAGGCACGAAAGCGUGGGGAGCAAACAGG